rnacentral:rRNA from 1 species
UACGUAGGGCGCAAGCGUUGUCCGGAAUUAUUGGGCGUAAAGAGCUCGUAGGCGGUUUGUCGCGUCUGCUGUGAAAUCCUCAGGCUCAACUUGGGGCGUGCAGUGGGUACGGGCAGACUAGAGUGCGGUAGGGGAGACUGGAAUUCCCGGUGUAGCGGUGAAAUGCGCAGAUAUCGGGAAGAACACCCGUGGCGAAGGCGGCUCUCUGGGACGGUACUGACGCUGAGACGCGAAAGCGUGGGGAGCGAACAGG